rnacentral:lncRNA from 1 species
AAUAAAUAAAGGCAAAACGUAAACAUGCGGCACCUACACUCACUGCUGCUUCGCAUUUAUUUUGAAGUGGUUGUAGCCUGGAU